ACUCAGUGAAAUUGAACUCGCUGUGAAGAUGCAGUGUACCCGCGGCAAGACGGAAAGACCCCGUGAACCUUUACUAUAGCUUGACACUGAACAUUGAGCCUUGAUGUGUAGGAUAGGUGGGAGGCUUAGAAGUGUGGACGCCAGUCUGCAUGGAGCCGACCUUGAAAUACCACCCUUUAAUGUUUGAUGUUCUAACGUUGACCCGUAAUCCGGGUUGCGGACAGUGUCUGGUGGGUAGUUUGACUGGGGCGGUCU
rnacentral:rRNA from 1 species